CAUCGAAAGCACCGUUUGCCCAGCCAUGGCCACAGCUUUCUUGAACUUCUUUCCUUCUUCUUCUUCUCUAAUUAUAGGCUACUAUUUGAUGUGGCUAGCUGCAGCUAUCAGAAGUUCAAGAAAUCUGUGGGAAGAAAUGGCAAAUAAGGGCUUAAUUUCUCCUU
rnacentral:pre_miRNA from 1 species